CUGCGAGGAACAGAGGCGCGGGAGGCGCGCGGAGCCAGAGCAGAGCCCGUGCGCGCGCCACCAUGCCCUUGGCCUUCUGCGGCACCGAGAACCACUCGGCCGCCUACCGGGUGGACCAAGGUGUCCUCAACAACGGCUGCUUCGUGGACGCGCUCAACGUAGUGCCACAUGUCUUCCUGCUCUUCAUCACAUUCCCCAUCCUCUUCAUCGGAUGGGGCAGCCAGAGCUCCAAGGUACACAUUCACCAUAGCACCUGGCUCCAUUUCCCUGGCCACAACCUGCGCUGGAUCCUUACCUUCAUGCUGCUCUUUGUCCUGGUGUGUGAGAUCGCUGAGGGUAUCCUGUCUGAUGGGGUGACAGAAUCCCGCCACCUCCAUUUGUACAUGCCAGCUGGGAUGGCUUUCAUGGCUGCCAUCACCUCUGUGGUCUACUAUCACAACAUUGAGACCUCUAACUUCCCCAAGCUGCUGAUCGCUCUGCUUAUCUACUGGACCUUGGCCUUCAUCACUAAGACCAUCAAGUUCGUCAAGUUCUACGACCACGCCAUCGGCUUCUCUCAGCUGCGCUUCUGCCUCACGGGGCUUCUGGUGAUCCUCUACGGGAUGCUGCUGCUGGUGGAGAUCAAUGUCAUCCGGGUGCGGAGGUACAUCUUCUUCAAGACGCCAAGGGAAGUGAAGCCCCCUGAGGACCUGCAGGACCUGGGGGUGCGCUUUCUGCAGCCCUUCGUGAAUCUGCUGUCAAAGGGGACCUACUGGUGGAUGAAUGCCUUCAUCAAGACUGCCCACAGGAAGCCCAUCGACCUGCGGGCCAUCGGGAAGCUGCCCAUCGCCAUGAGAGCCCUCACCAACUAUCAGCGACUCUGCGCGGCCUUCGAUGCCCAGGCGCGGAAAGACACGCAGAGCCAGCAGGGCGCCCGGGCCAUCUGGAGGGCUCUCUGCCAUGCCUUUGGGAGACGCCUGGUCCUCAGCAGCACAUUCCGUAUCCUGGCUGACCUGCUGGGCUUUGCUGGACCGCUCUGCAUCUUUGGGAUCGUGGACCACCUCGGGAAGGAGAACCAUGUCUUCCAGCCCAAGACACAGUUUCUUGGGGUUUACUUUGUCUCGUCCCAAGAGUUCCUGGGCAACGCCUAUGUCUUGGCUGUACUUCUGUUCCUGGCCCUCCUGCUGCAAAGGACGUUCCUGCAAGCCUCGUACUACGUCGCCAUUGAAACUGGGAUUAACCUGAGAGGGGCGAUCCAGACCAAGAUUUACAAUAAGAUCAUGCACUUGUCUACUUCCAACCUGUCAAUGGGGGAGAUGACGGCUGGGCAGAUCUGCAACCUGGUGGCCAUCGACACAAAUCAGCUCAUGUGGUUUUUCUUCUUAUGCCCAAACCUCUGGGCUAUGCCAGUACAGAUCAUUGUGGGCGUGAUCCUCCUCUACUACAUCCUUGGGGUCAGUGCCUUGAUUGGAGCAGCUGUCAUCAUUCUGCUGGCUCCUGUACAGUACUUUGUGGCCACCAAGCUCUCCCAGGCACAGCGGAGCACCCUGGAAUAUUCCAAUGAAAGGCUGAAGCAGACCAACGAGAUGCUCCGGGGCAUCAAACUGCUCAAACUGUACGCGUGGGAGAACAUCUUCUGCUCGAGGGUGGAGAUGACGCGCAGGAAGGAAAUGACCAGCCUCAGAGCCUUCGCUGUCUACACCUCCAUCUCCAUCUUCAUGAACACAGCUAUCCCCAUUGCUGCCGUCCUCAUUACCUUUGUGGGCCACGUCAGCUUCUUCAAAGAGUCAGACUUCUCACCCUCGGUGGCCUUUGCCUCUCUCUCUCUCUUCCACAUCCUGGUCACACCGCUGUUCCUGCUGUCUAGUGUGGUUCGGUCCACCGUCAAGGCCCUAGUGAGUGUGCAAAAGCUGAGUGAGUUCCUGUCCAGUGCAGAGAUCCGUGAGGAACAGUGUGCCCCCCGAGAGCCUGCACCCCAAGGCCAAGCGGGCAAGUACCAGGCGGUGCCCCUCAAGGUUGUGAACCGCAAGCGCCCAGCCCGGGAAGAGGUUCGGGACCUCUUGGGCCCACUGCAGAGGCUGACCCCCAGCAUGGAUGGAGAUGCUGACAACUUCUGUGUCCAGAUCAUCGGAGGCUUCUUCACCUGGACCCCUGAUGGAAUCCCCACCCUGUCCAACAUCACCAUCCGUAUCCCCCGAGGCCAGCUGACCAUGAUUGUGGGGCAGGUGGGCUGCGGCAAGUCCUCGCUCCUUCUGGCCACCCUGGGGGAGAUGCAGAGGGUCUCCGGGGCCGUCUUCUGGAACAGCAGCCUUCCAGACAGCGAGGGAGAAGACCCCAGGUAUUGCCUCAGGACAAGCAACCCAGAGCGGGAGACAGCAGCCGACUCGGAUGCCAGGAGCAGAGGCCCCGUAGCCUACGCAUCUCAGAAACCAUGGCUGCUAAAUGCCACGGUGGAGGAGAACAUCACCUUCGAGAGUCCCUUCAAUAAGCAAAGGUACAAGAUGGUCAUCGAAGCCUGCUCCCUGCAGCCAGACAUAGACAUCUUACCCCAUGGAGACCAGACUCAGAUUGGGGAACGGGGCAUCAACUUGUCUGGUGGUCAGCGUCAGCGAAUCAGUGUAGCCCGAGCCCUCUACCAGCACACCAAUGUUGUCUUCUUGGAUGACCCUUUCUCAGCUCUGGAUGUCCAUCUGAGCGACCACCUGAUGCAGGCUGGCAUCCUUGAGCUGCUCCGGGAUGACAAGAGGACAGUGGUCUUGGUGACCCACAAGCUACAGUACCUGCCUCAUGCAGACUGGAUCAUUGCUAUGAAGGAUGGCACCAUUCAGAGGGAGGGGACGCUCAAGGACUUCCAGAGGUCUGAGUGCCAGCUCUUUGAGCAUUGGAAGACCCUCAUGAACAGGCAAGACCAAGAGCUGGAGAAGGAGACAGUCAUGGAGAGGAAAGCCCCAGAACCGUCUCAGGGCCUGCCCCGUGCCAUGUCCUCAAGAGAUGGCCUUCUGCUGGAUGAGGACGAGGAGGAAGAGGAGGCGGCCGAGAGCGAGGAAGAUGACAACUUAUCUUCGGUGCUGCAUCAGCGAGCCAAGAUCCCAUGGCGGGCCUGCACUAAGUAUUUGUCCUCUGCCGGCGUCCUGCUCUUGUCCCUGCUUGUCUUCUCCCAGCUACUCAAGCACAUGGUCUUGGUGGCCAUUGAUUACUGGCUGGCCAAGUGGACGGACAGUGCCCUGGUCCUGAGCCCUGCUGCCAGGAACUGCUCCCUCAGCCAGGAAUGCGCCCUGGACCAGUCUGUCUAUGCCAUGGUAUUCACCGUGCUCUGCAGCCUGGGAAUUGCACUGUGCCUUGUCACCUCUGUCACUGUGGAGUGGACAGGACUGAAGGUGGCCAAGAGGCUGCACCGCAGCCUGCUCAAUCGCAUCAUCCUGGCCCCCAUGAGGUUCUUUGAGACCACGCCCCUGGGGAGUAUCCUGAACAGAUUUUCAUCUGACUGUAACACCAUUGACCAGCACAUCCCAUCCACGCUGGAGUGUCUGAGCCGAUCCACUCUACUCUGUGUCUCCGCCUUGACUGUCAUCUCCUACGUCACACCUGUGUUCCUCGUGGCCCUCUUACCCCUAGCUGUGGUGUGCUACUUCAUCCAGAAAUACUUCCGAGUGGCGUCCAGGGACCUGCAGCAGCUGGAUGACACAACGCAGCUCCCUCUGCUCUCACACUUUGCUGAAACCGUGGAAGGACUCACCACCAUCCGUGCCUUCAGGUACGAGGCCCGGUUCCAGCAGAAGCUCCUGGAGUACACGGACUCCAACAACAUCGCCUCCCUCUUCCUCACGGCAGCCAACAGGUGGCUAGAAGUCCGCAUGCCCGGGCCAGCUGCUGUCCUUCCUCAGGAGUACAUUGGAGCAUGCGUGGUACUCAUCGCAGCCGCCACCUCCAUCUCCAACUCCCUGCACAGGGAGCUCUCUGCUGGUCUGGUGGGCCUGGGCCUCACCUACGCCUUGAUGGUCUCCAACUACCUCAACUGGAUGGUGAGGAACCUGGCAGACAUGGAGAUCCAAUUGGGGGCUGUGAAGCGCAUCCACACACUCCUGAAAACUGAGGCAGAGAGCUAUGAGGGGCUCCUAGCACCGUCAUUGAUCCCCAAGAACUGGCCAGACCAAGGGAAGAUUCAAAUUCAAAACCUGAGUGUGCGCUAUGACAGCUCCCUGAAGCCCGUGCUGAAGCACGUCAAUGCCCUCAUCGCCCCAGGACAGAAGGUCAGCUGGGCUGGGAGCCCAUUGGGUGGACAACAGCAGGCUGCGGCCCUCUCCCUACCCCCAGGCCCCAUCCACAGCAGAAACAGUCAUCUAGGACUCCCUUGGUUUAGAGAGCUUUGCCAGGCUCCUUCCCAGCCAAGGGUCCCUGGCUCUCCCUGCUAUAUCCUCUGGACCUGCAGAGCGGAGCUCUCAGGCAGCGAGGGACGCUGCUGCCGCUGUCCAGCGCUCUGCGUCCUCACGUCCCUCAUUCAGCCCAUCUCUGACACGUCCCUCUUUCUCUGCCUUUGUCUUUCUGUCCCCUUGGUGGUGCUGUCUUGCUCUGUCCAGCCUUGGGGAAUAUCUGCCCCUGCCUGUCUCUUCCACCCUGGCCCUUCAGCACCACUAUUUCAGUCUCUAUAUCAGUCCUUUAUGCAAAUUUCUGUUGGGAAUCAAGAACGGGGAAGCAGUGGGAUCCGGUGUGAGUCCCGCCAUACACUUGCCCACAGAAGCACACCGCGGCCCUCACUCCUGACAGCUACCAGACAGGAUGUGGGUCUUCCCUGCAGACCUGUACCAAGACCUGUGCCACUAGACACCUAUGCCUGUACUCUUCUCUGGGGUGGCCAGAGAGAGCCCUCUCUAAGCCCACCAAGGAAACAAGCUCAAACCCGUGUCCAGCCAGGCUAAAGAGAAGCUGGGCAGAAGACCGGGACUAGAGGAGGCGCUGUGACCCCCACACCUGUGCACACCCCAGGUCCACAGCGACACGCCUGCUUCUCUGCUUCCAGAUCGGGAUCUGCGGCCGCACAGGCAGUGGGAAGUCCUCCUUCUCUCUCGCCUUUUUCCGAAUGGUGGACAUGUUCGAAGGGCGCAUCAUCAUUGAUGGCAUCGACAUCGCCAAGCUGCCGCUGCACACGCUCCGUUCACGCCUCUCCAUCAUCCUACAGGACCCUGUCCUCUUCAGCGGCACCAUCAGAUUCAACCUGGACCCAGAGAAGAAAUGCUCAGACAGCACACUCUGGGAGGCUCUGGAGAUCGCCCAGCUGAAGCUGGUGGUGAAGGCACUGCCAGGAGGCCUGGGUGACUGCUCCUGGCACCGAUGGGUUUGGAAGGAAAACAUCACACCCAUGGCUAGGAUGAGCGUUGAGCUUGGAGCCCCAAGUCUAACUAGGAUUCAGUGACCGUGCUAUCCCACAGGGUUCAGAGGUCAAAAAAAUCUGCCUAGGGUCACACAACACACCUAGCUCAGAGUCUAGCAUAGGGGGACAUUCAGGGUCCCUAGGAGACAGACUUCAAGUCCUCCAUACCACAGUGUUCCUUGAGCCCUGUCUUGCCCUGUCUGCCUGCCCUGUGGACAAGGGUCACAGUGGACAUUGGUACAGAACGUGCCCAUAGGGAAGGCUCUUCCCCAGUCCAGGGUCUGUCAGAAUCAUGGUGUAGGCACUGUGAGGCUAGACAGGCUCUGACAUUGCUGGUUCACCCUCCAGCCAAAGCUUCCACCAGGACUGCCCAGGGCCCCAGCGGUGCAGAGCACCAGGAUGACCAGUGCACACUGAAUCCAUAUGAUUGGAAGCCCUGUUGUGUCAGACACAUCAUCCCCGCCUGCGCACACACACCGACACAGAACAUGUCUGUACCCUGCACAUACAUCCCCCUCCAUGGGGCUACUCUGCUCACAGGCAGGAUUUACUCAGGCCUGCCCUGUCCCAUGUCUGCUUCCAGAUGCCAUCAUCACAGAAGGAGGGGAGAAUUUUAGUCAAGGUCAGAGGCAGCUGUUCUGCCUGGCUCGGGCCUUCGUGAGAAAGACCAGCAUCUUCAUCAUGGACGAAGCAACUGCCUCCAUUGACAUGGCUACGGAAAACAUCCUCCAGAAGGUGGUGAUGACAGCCUUCGCAGACCGCACUGUGGUCACCAUCGCGCACCGCGUACACACCAUCCUGAGUGCAGACCUCGUGAUGGUCCUGAAGAGGGGAGCCAUCCUGGAGUUUGACAAACCGGAGAAGCUUCUGAGCCAGAAGGACAGCGUCUUCGCCUCCUUCGUCCGCGCGGACAAAUGACUCUGCCAGCGCCAGCGUGCCGCCCCGCACCUCACUUGCUUGCCUAGUGUUUCGUACUGUAAAUCACUUGUAAAUAAAGAAAUUAAUUCUUUGC